rnacentral:misc_RNA from 1 species
UGAUAUUUAAUUCUUUAAUUGCCAACGUCAAUUCCCGAGCCUUCUAGCUCAUGCAACAACAGUUAGAGUAGAUCAACAAGUUACUUUGUUUACUGCAAGAUUGACAGAUUUAAUCCGGAUUGAUGUAGAGAUGCAAAAUCUCCCGAGCUUGGUGGCAACUAUGAACCUAGCAAGAGCCUUUGAAAGAAAACAACAGCUAAAAGAAAAUUGGUCAAAUUCAUGAUCCAAUACAAGAACAGCACUUACUUCAUCAAUUCUGCCUGUAACCAAGGUUACUGCCAACCAGGCCAUUAGUACAUUACAAAAUUCUAGUUUAGAAAGUGUUUCAUCUUCCUUUAUUAAAAGAUUGAGCCAUCCAGAGAUGG